UACGUAGGGUGCAAGCGUUGUCCCGGAAUUAUUGGGCGUAAAGAGCUCGUAGGCGGCUCGUCGCGUCUGCUGUGAAAGCCCGGGGCUUAACCCCGGGUCUGCAGUGGGUACGGGCGGGCUAGAGUGCGGUAGGGGAGACUGGAAUUCCUGGUGUAGCGGUGAAAUGCGCAGAUAUCAGGAGGAACACCCGUGGCGAAGGCGGCUCUCUGGGACGGUACUGACGCUGAGACGCGAAAGCGUGGGAGCGAACAGG
rnacentral:rRNA from 1 species